CUUGGCUCGGCUCGCCUCUCCUCACUUUCCUUCUGCGGGAGCUCGCUGCCGGCGCCCAGGUGUCCUGCCACGCCCCGCAAGAUGUUCACACAAUUUAUGGCACACCAGCAGCCAUGCCACUCGGCAUGCGGGAUCUUAACUGGACCACCAGGGAAUUCUCUACAGUAUCUUCUGAAGAACAGA